CAGUAGCCGCGGUAAUACAGAGGGUGCGAGCGUUAAUCGGAUUUACUGGGCGUAAAGCGUGCGUAGGCGGCUUUUUAAGUCGGAUGUGAAAUCCCUGAGCUUAACUUAGGAAUUGCAUUCGAUACUGGGAAGCUAGAGUAUGGGAGAGGAUGGUAGAAUUCCAUGUGUAGCGGUGAAAUGCGUAGAGAUCUGGAGGAAUACCGAUGGCGAAGGCAGCCAUCUGGCCUAAUACUGACGCUGAGGUACGAAAGCAUGGGGAGCAAACAGGAUUAGAUACCCCGGUAGUCCCUGUCUCUUAUAC
rnacentral:rRNA from 1 species